rnacentral:rRNA from 1 species
GUUUGAUCCUGGCUCAGUAUUGAACGCUGGCGGCAGGCUUAACACAUGCAAGUCGAGCGGAAACGAAGGUAGCUUGCUACCAGACGUCGAGCGGCGGACGGGUGAGUAAUGCUUAGGAAUCUACCGAGUAGUGGGGGAUAGCCAUUGGAAACGAUGAUUAAUACCGCAUAUAUCCUACGGGGGAAAGCAGGGGACCUUCGGGCCUUGCGCUAUUCGAUGAGCCUGAGUGAGAUUAGCUAGUUGGUGGGGUAAAGGCCUACCAAGGCGACGAUCUCUAGCUGGUCUGAGAGGAUGAUCAGCCACACUGGGACUGAGACACGGCCCAGACUCCUACGGGAGGCAGCAGUGGGGAAUAUUGCACAAUGGACGAAAGUCUGAUGCAGCCAUGCCGCGUGUGUGAAGAAGGCCUUCGGGUUGUAAAGCACUUUCAGCGAGGAGGAAAGGUCAGUAAGUAAUAUUUGCUGGCUGUGACGUUACUCGCAGAAGAAGCACCGGCUAAUUUAGUGCCAGCAGCCGCGGUAAUACUAAAGGUGCAAGCGUUAAUCGGAAUUACUGGGCGUAAAGCGCGCGUAGGUGGUUUGUUAAGUUGGAUGUGAAAGCCCAGGGCUCAACCUUGGAACUGCAUUCAAAACUGACUCACUAGAGUACGAGAGAGGUUAGUGGAAUUUCCUGUGUAGCGGUGAAAUGCGUAGAGAUGGGAAGGAACACCAGUGGCGAAGGCGACUGACUGGCUCGAUACUGACACUGA